GAUGAACGCUAGCGGCAGGCUUAACACAUGCAAGUCGAGGGGCAGCAUGAUUGAACUUUCGGGUUCGGUUGAUGGCGACCGGCGCAAGGGUGCGUAACGCGUGAGCAACUUGCCCGUUUCAGGGGGAUAACCGGUGGAAACGCCGACUAAUACCCCAUGGCAUCAUAUUGAGGCAUCUUUAUAUGAUUAAAGAAUUUCGGAAACGGAUAGGCUCGCGUGACAUUAGCUAGAUGGCGGGGUAACGGCCCACCAUGGCGACGAUGUCUAGGGGUUCUGAGAGGAAGGUCCCCCACACUGGAACUGAGACACGGUCCAGACUCCUACGGGAGGCAGCAGUGAGGAAUAUUGGUCAAUGGCCGGGAGGCUGAACCAGCCAUGCCGCGUGAAGGUCACGGCCCUAUGGGUCUUAAACUUCUUUUGUAAGGGAGCAAUAAGGUUCACGUGUGGACUGAUGAGAGUACCUUAGAAUAAGCAUCGGCUAACUCCGUGCCAGCAG
rnacentral:rRNA from 1 species